rnacentral:snRNA from 1 species
GCAGAAGAGAUCAUCCCUAG